AACAGGGUUCAAGCCUCGCCCUGAGUUCUCCACCGUCUUUAUGGUUUCACCCCGUUCAGGUUUCCAGAACAGUUAUGAAGCUCAGUGUGGUGCUCCCGUCCUCACUAUCCUGAUGGUUCCUGAAUCUACUUAGCUUCCAGCAAAUCAUAAUUUGAACACUGAGCUACUAUUCCAUCUAAGGGAACAAGUGGAGUCAAACCAUGCCAGGAAAACUGCCCUCCACAGCAGAACAGAACCAUAGGAGUCCAGUCCUCUUCUCCUUUUGUACACCACACAUCAUUGGGAAGAUGGUGGAGGAUGACUCAUCUGACCACUUAUUUCCACAUCUUCUGUAGACCAUUGCUUAUAGUUUUUGCACCACUGAACUAUGAAAUGUGCAUUCAUCUCUGUAAUAAAGGGCUGUAACUGUCCUCAGACGGUCUGAUCACAUCCUGCAUUC